rnacentral:rRNA from 1 species
AUUGAACGCUGGCGGCAGGCUUAACACAUGCAAGUCGAGCGAGAGGCGGACGGGUGAGUAAUGUCUGGGAAACUGCCUGCUGGAGGGGGAUAACUACUGAAAAAGGUAGCUAAUAGCGCAUACCAUCAGAUGUGCCCAGAUGGGCUUAGCUAGUAGGUGGGGUAAUGGAUCACCUAGGCGACGAUCCCUAGCUGGUCUGAGAGGACGACCAGCCACACUGGAACUGAGACACGGUCCAGACUCCUACGCGAGGCAGCAGUGGGGAAUAGUGUCCAAUGGGCGCAAGCCUGAUGCAGCCAUGCCGCGUGUGUGAUGAAGGCCUUCGGGUUGUAAAGCACUUUCAGCGAGGAGGCGUUACUCGCAGAAGAAGCACCGGCUAACUCCGUGCCAGCAGCCGCGGUAAUAC